rnacentral:snRNA from 1 species
AUGCUUGCUUCGGUAGCACAUAUACUAAAAUUGGAACGAUACAGAGAAGAUUAGCAUGGCCCCUGCGCAAGAAAAAAAAAAAAAAAAAGAAUGCUUGU